rnacentral:rRNA from 1 species
GAUUUCUGGUUGGGCGCAUUUGGCCCGCUUCGGUUACGAGGUUGAGUGCCGUUUUGCGCCCGCCAUCCUUCUAGAGUACGACUCUCCCUUUACUGGGUUGGGCCGGAAUCUAGAUCAUUUACUUUGAAAAAAUUAGAGUGUUUAAAGCAGGCUUGCGCUAUGAAUACAUUAGCAUGGAAUAAUAAUUUAGGACUUUAUUCCUAUUUUAUUGGUUUCUAGGAGUAAAGUAAUGAUUGAUAGGGAUAGUUGGGGGUGCUAGUAUUCAUCGGCCAGAGGUGAAAUUCUUGGAUUCGAUGAAGACUAACUAAUGCGAAAGCAUU